GGCGGCAUGGCCGAGCGGUAAGGCGGUGGACUGCAAAUCCUCGUUCCCCAGUUCGAAUCUUGGGUGUCGCCUGAUCACCAAA
rnacentral:tRNA from 1 species